AUGCAUUUUCAUGACAGAGAUAAUAUUGAAAGGGGUAUGAGGAUGUCAGACAUCACAUAUUACAAUUUGGUAGCACUGAUGGAGACAGAAGGGUAUGGUUUUAGAGAUUAUAUGUAUUAUGUGAGGGACCCUGGGCUAGGGAUUGAAGGAAUGGAAGAAAUAGAUGAUGAUGAUAAGUUAGCGGAAAUUUUAGACCACAUAGCAGAGCAGAAUAACAAGAUAUUGAAUGUGACAAUAGUUAGGGCCAGUGCAGAGAAAGUUCCCAAUAUAAAUACCAGUGUUAAUGUCAUUGAGACGCAGACCCCAAUAGAACAAAUUGGAGAGCCCAAACUGUAUCAGAUUGAUGAUGAAGGAGUGUUGUUCAAUGCUGAAAAUGUGCAUGUAGAAGCUGAGAGUUGUGAUGCAGGAGGAGAACAAGAGCCAAUGCCCAUGCAGUUUGACACACAGCAAAGCAGAAUAAAUGUGAGCCUGGAACCUGCUUUAGGUGAUGCAGUAGUGGAAGCAUACCAUGUGACUGACAAUUCAGAGGAGCAACUGAUAAUAGAGCAAGAAAUGGAGGAGAAAAGGAGAAAUGAAAUUGAAAUGUUUAGGAAGAACAAGAAGGAAAGAGUGAAGGAGACUUGUUUGAACAAGAAGGAAAGAGUGAAGGAGACUUGUUUGAACAGAAAAGCAUCAGUGAUGGACAAUGAAGAGGAUAGUGAUGAUGAUGAUAUGGUGGAAUAUGGUGAUAUCUUAGCUAGGCUUGAGGAGAUGAGAAGACAGAGGAAUGACCCAGAACUUCAUUUUGAAGGGGACACAGAUGUUGAGGAAAUGUGUGACUCAGAGGUGGAUGAUGAGCUGUAUGUGCCACAAGGUGAAGAAGAGGAUGUAGAUGAGGAAGAGGAGGAGGAAUUGGAGGAAGAGGAACAAGAGGAUGAGCUAGGGCAAGAUGUACCAAACAAGAGAAGGGCCAAGAGACAAAGAAAAGGCCCAACAAGCAAUUCACAUGGCAGUAUAGAACACAUGUUUGAGGAGGACUGGAUUCCAUCAUCUGAUGAGGACAAGAAACCACAAGACCUUGGUGGGGACGAUGAUGAUGGUGCUGAGGCAUUGGCAUAUGCGUUGCCCAAUGGUAGAAAAAGCAGAGCAAAGAAGAUGAAGAAGAGGUUAUGGUUUGAUGAGCACAGAGCUCAUCCAGAGGAGCAAUUUGUGAAGCAUCUUUGCUUCUUAAAUGUAUACCAGUUUAGAGCUGCACUUCAAACCCUGCACAUUGCUCAAAACAGGAACUUUGUCUACCAUAGAAACUAUAGUGAUAGGGUGAUAGCACAGUGCAUAGAUGAGCAAUGUCCCUUCUAUAUAGCAGCUUCUCAGAUUGCAAAUGAGAAGUCAUUUACAAUUAGGAAGGUGUAUUUAGUGCACACAUGCCCUUCUAUGUCAGAGAAUACUAAAGUCACUGCUAAGUGGGUUUCAAAAUUCUGUGAGGAGGCUAUCAGAAAUGACCCAUGCACAACAAUCACAAGUAUUAUUAAUACUACAAAGAGCAAGUAUGGUGUGGACAUAUCAACACACAUGGCAUACAGGGCAAAGAGGGCAGCAAAGGCUGUUGUGUUAGGAGACCAGAAAGCCAAGUACACCAGGAUUAGGGAUUAUUUACAGGCUGUGUUGGAUACAAAUCUAGGUUCAAGAUGCAUUGUGACAACAAGAUAUCUGAAGCAGCAUCCAAGCACUAACCCUAGGUUUCAUGCACUGUUCAUAUGCUUGAACGGAUGCAAAGAAGGGUUUCUCAAUGGCUGCAGACCAUUCAUAGGUCUAGAUGGUUGUUUCAUCAAGCUCACUAUUGGUCAACAAAUUCUAGCUGCAACUGGAAGAGAUGGGAACAAUAAUAUUUUUCCCAUUGCUUUUGGAAUUGUUGAUAAGGAGGACACUAACUCCUGGACCUGGUUUUUAUACCAGUUGAGACAAGCAUUAGGUGGAGAAUCUGGGAAGUUUGGGAACUACAUAAUAAUUUCAGAUAGGCAGAAGGGCCUUUUAAAAGCCAUUACCAGAGUGUUUCCCAAUUGUCCCCAAAGGUUUUGUCUUAGACAUAUCUACCAGAACUUUCAAAAUGCUGGGUUUAGCGGGCCUCAAUUAAAGCAAUACAUGGAUGCAGCCAGUUAUUCAUACACUGAACAUGGUUUUAAAACUGCAAUGGCUGAAUUAAAGACUGAGAGUGAGGCUGCUUGGGAAUGGCUAAGCAAAAUACCUAAACACACUUGGGCCAGACAUGCAAUGGAUAUGAGCUGCAAAACAGACUUAGUUGUUAACAAUCUAAGUGAGGUUUUCAACAAGUGGGUUCUUGAUGUCAGGGCUAAACCAAUUAGGACCAUGGGGGAUGGAAUUAGGACAAAGUUAAUGGUCAAGUUCAAUGCAAAUAGAACAAAGACUGAGACUGUAAGAUGGGAAAUUUGUCCAACAUAUGCUGAGAAAUUAGAGGAAGCAAAGAAGUUUGCAAGGAACUGUCAUGCUUUGAUGGCUGGGCCCAAUCUUUACCAAGUCACUAGUGGGGAGAGAACUUAUGCUGUGAACCUACAACAUAGGACUUGUGGGUGCAAGAAGUGGGAUAUGACAGCAGUUCCUUGCAAUCAUGUUGUUUCUUCCAUACACAAGGCUAUGCUUCAGCCAGAGGACUUUGUUCAUGAUUUCUUCAAAAAAAGCCUGGCAGCUUACAGUCCCAUUAUAUCCUGUACCUGA
rnacentral:rRNA from 1 species